GAGGCAGCGGCGGGCGUCUGAGUGGAUGGACGCGACGCGCACGCACACGCACGUCACGGCCUGGCGCGGCCGUCAAGAGCGCGCGCGUCAGCCUCCGCCGGCUCACUCGCCCCUCACUCGCCAUCAGUACGCACGCACGCACGGCCGGCCGGGAGCCUCCUCGCGCGCUUGGAUGAUUGCGGUUCCGCUCCCAGACACGGCGCGUCCACGCACGCACGCACGCACGCUCAAAGGCCUGACGAUUCGCGCACGCGCUUUGUAGGACGGCGAGCGCUCGGUCCAGGCUAAUGGACGAGGAAGGACGGGUGGAGCCUUCGGGGUUCAUUGUUAUCUUUGGUUAUCUAGCUGUAUGAGUGAUGUACAUUCUUCAUAAAGCUAGAUAACCGAAAGUAACAAGAAUCCCAUUACACUCCUGGAAAGGCACCAAGACACCCGAAAGGACGACGCCACGCAAAUACAAAACGGACGGGCAAAAGAAAAUCCAAAGGAAUCGGGAGGAAGCAACGGAAAGGCUAACGUCAGCCAAGCUGAAAACGACGAAGAAGGAGGAGGAGGAAUCUCCUCAUCGUCCACCUCCACUCCCCCUUCCUCCUCCUCCUCUUCUCCUUCCUCCCGCCGUCCUCCUUCCUUCCAUCCCGGCCACGCCGGCCCUUCUUCUUCCAGCUCGCCACCAUCUUGACGACCCGCCGCCGAGCGCAGGUUGGCGGUCACCUGAGCGGGGAAGAUUCCGGUCACCCGGAUGCUGCUCGGCCAAUCAGAGCGAAGCAAGAAGUUGAUGCUAAUUAUAAUAACGCUAAAUAAAUUCAUAGCGUUCAUACGAACGAAUGAAUCGAAUCAUUAAUGACUGGUGAAUGUGAGACCCACGCCAGCAGUGAAUUCUACUGCACUGUGAUUGGAUAGCUCGUGUGUCAGCCGUCGCACCGGCCAAUGAGAGCUGUCGUCUUUAAACUCUAUGCAAACACUUGAUUUACUUCUGUCAUCGCUAAUUUCCUUUCGGCCUGUGAAACAAACACGCCUUCAUUUCCGGACACACUCACAGACACGCACAUAUAUUAAGCACUAGCACAGCCUAAUUGGCUCUAUAUUAAUUUUUCGGGAAGUGGCAAUCCCCCCCCCCCCCCUUCUAUUAUUAGAAUUGAUCAUCUAUGCAAAUCUUUUGAAAUGUGACUUUAAAUGGUCCCAAUUCAAGGGGGCGGUAUUUGGAAUAAUCCCCCAAUCACGGUGGUUGUUUUUUAUUUUUAUAAUUCUUUUCUAUAUUUUCUGUAAGUUUGCAUGAUGCAACAACAGCUGUGUGUGUUCACCAAUGUGCCUUGUAUGAAAACUGUGUUGCAAUAGUAUUAAAUGUUUACAAUGAAAACAAUGCAAA